CGGCACGGGUGAGUAACACGUAUCCAACCUGCCGUCUACUCUUGGCCAGCCUUCUGAAAGGAAGAUUAAUCCAGGAUGGCAUCAUGAGUUCACAUGUCCGCAUGAUUAAAGGUAUUUUCCGGUAGACGAUGGGGAUGCGUUCCAUUAGAUAGUAGGCGGGGUAACGGCCCACCUAGUCAACGAUGGAUAGGGGUUCUGAGAGGAAGGUCCCCCAUAUUGGAACUGAGACACGGUCCAA
rnacentral:rRNA from 1 species